CUUUGCUGGUCCUUAACUUUGGGAUAAGUUGAACCAAAUGUCCAAGAAAAGGCGGGUCAGAAGAGGCGCGUAGACCGCGCAACGACGGAUUCUUUGACCCUUGGAGGAAAAAGAAAGUGAUGCUCCCAGGUCUACAGGCCAUGUUCAGUCGGGCGGUUCCAAAGUGAGCGGCCUCGGGAUCCACACGAGAACUUUGAUUACACCUCGUGGUCCUGUGUUAGCUUCUCUCCGGGGCGAACAGGGGGCCCCGAGUGCCUUCGCGUGCAGGAGCUCGGGCGCCCUCGCCGCGUGGUGCCGUGACUGUGCCCGCGCGUGUACUACCCGCGCCCCCCGCGCCCCGCGCCCCGCGCCCCGCGCCCCGCCGGGGGUCACCUGACCGCGCCGAGGGCCGCCCCCUCCCGAGCGGGGGAGCCCCGGAGCGAGCGGCCGGCGCCCGCGGCGGGCGGGGUGCGCGGGGCGAUGGGCAGGCCCCCGGCGGGGCGGGCGGCGCGGAGGCUGCAGGUGGGGGCUGCGGCGGGCGGGCCGAGCGCCGCGCGCCUCGUCUGCGAGAGGAGGGAAAACAAAAGCGUCCGCGGCGGUUCGGUGGCUGCGCGCGGCUCGACGAGGCAGAGCCCGGGGCGCGUGCGGGGGGCGCGGAGGCCGGGCCGCGGCUGCUCUGCUCGCGCCCGGGGCCGCCGACGGGAGGACGGGGCGCGCCGGCACAGGUGGUCCGCGGCGAGCCGGAGCGAGGAGCAUGGCCAGGUGCGGCGGGACGAGCGGGCCCCGGGCCUCGCGGGCGCCCGGCUCCAGGGGACUCGUCUGCCAGUUUGCCAUUGUGCACUCAGGAAUCUGCUCCAUUCUGAAGUGAACUGCCCAGAGGUAUUAGUCAAGAAGCUGGAGGAGGCUGGGGAGUGGGGAGAGGUGGGUUUUUCUUCCUCUUCUUCUUUCUUCCUUUUUUUUUUUUUUUUAACUAUUAGCUCAGAAGUGUCUGAUUCACAUGAUUUUAAGAGGAAAUGGGGGAGAGGCAUUUAGUUUUGAAUUGGAUGCAGGUCUGUGCUGUGCGGUUGGCGGAGACUACAUCAGGGAGAUGCUCAAGGCGGAGGGCGUCAGAUCUGUGCUGGGCUCUCUAAGAACAGGUUCCGUGAGGGUGACUGGCCGGGUCCCUCUGGGCCACAUUAAGAUGCGCUCCGGCGGUGCACUAGCAGCUGUGAGCUGACGUUUGCUUGUGAACCUAGUGAAAAAUGGCUCCAUGUCUCUCCUCCCAGUGCUGAGGAGAUGGUCCCUUCGGGUUGCCGAGCCCUCCUCCAACCCGAGGUGCUCCCGCGGUGCUCUCCCCGGAGGGGACGGGUAGGCUGCCGGUGGCGUUCAGCUCACCUGCCUUUUUGGAUCUGCGGUUGACUGGGGUGUGGGUGGGGACCGGUUUACUUCAAGUGCAAACUACCCAGCAAGGCCAGCCGAAGAGAAGAGAUGUUCCUGGCCAUCGCGUUUCCAUUUUCAAAAGCGCAGAUUACAUUUCUUUGGACACGAUAUAAAGCACUUUGGGUUGUUGUCCAGUGGGCUAGUAAACGAUUUCUCCGGGGACAGACGCACGCAUGUGUGACACUUUGCGUCUGGACUCUCCGCAUGGAAAGUGACAGGUGAAAAACAUAGGGAUGCUUGCCCAUCAUCCAUCUCUGAAAAGAUAAAGCUGCCCUCUUCUAUCUUACCCUCCCCCCACCCCCUGUUUUUGAAUUGUGACUCGUGGUACUGGGACAAGGAUCGUGUCCCAGAGUUAGAAGGCAGGGAGGUAAUGCACUACUGUCCUGUAGGACUCAUGUGCUUAUUAAGGAAUUCCUGUGCUGAGCAGGGAGUGGAGGUGCUACAGCAGCUACACUGCUCCUUUAUUUAGGCUUGGGUUUGUGAAAACUCCAACCAGCAGAGGCAGGAUGCGCUUUAGCAGAGAGAGCUGAGUGUUUGAGACUCUGGUUAAGAGAAUGUGUUGUUUGGGGCGGCGGGUGUGUGUGUGUGGGGGGGGGCGUGGGGGUGAGAUUGGCUGUUCUCUAUUAUACAACAUUCUAAGAUGAUUGUAUGAGUGUGGAGUGAGUUCAGGAGGGAGGGGGUGGGCUCUUCAUAUUUUAGGGAAGAAGUACAGCACUAUCCAUCCACGAGAGAGGACAACACGAGAAUGCAAAAUAAUACAAUAGUGUGCGCUCGGUGCAGAAACAAUAACUCUUUAAAUUGUAUGAUAGUUCCCUAACUAUAGGAAUUUGAAAAAAUUUCCAGGCUUCCUGAAAAAUGGCAUGAAGUCACCUCUAUGUUAUGACAAGUAAGACUACUCGUACAAUGAUUUUAACUGCAUUAUGGAAACAGCUCCAGAAGUGCUUUAGAUAUUAUACCACUUGUAUCAUUGAAGGUUAUCUCUUAAAGGUUUGCAUCUUGGACACUUUUACAUAGGACAGGAGUUAUAACACAGGUUUUCUUGUUGGGGUCUGUUUGGAAUUAUUUUGAUGAAACUAAGAGUUUACAGAGGCAAUGGGAUUUGCCUCUUUAGUAGGACAACAGAAGUGAAACUUUUAACACCGCAUGCAGAUCUGAUUACUGCUUUGAUACGUGUAGACAAUUAACUAUGGUACGUAGUGUGCUUUAGGGAAAAUGAUGCAAUUGUAAUUGAACAAUGAAUGAAACAAUAGAUGAUACAAUGAAAACAUGGAUCCCAACAUUCAUGAGAAGACUAGCAGGGUCUCUCUUAAAUAUUGUUAAUGACUACAGGUGAGGACAUUUUACCCAGAGAAAUUUCAGAUGUCUAGAAUGGGAGGACCAUGUUUAUAAAACUAAGGGCAUAGCUCACCAGCUGUUUUAGAAGCUGGAUGGCACUGAUAUUUAAACCAGAUAAUAUGUGACACACAAAAGAAUAGCAUACAAAAAGAAUCAUGCACCGCAGGAACUUUCCACCAAUGGAAUUUUGUUUUAAAAGCGGCAAAAUAGCUUUAAUAUAGAAGCAGUUCACAGAGCAGUAGCCAUCAAGGGAGAACCAAGAAAAUCUAGGACUAAUAUGAAAUUUUUGUAAUGAGGUGCAUGUGAUGCCUGAGUGACCCUCAGGAUAGCAGUAAGUUCUUAAUGAGAGCUGAAAAAGAAAAAUCCACAUGUUGAAAUAAACUUCAGUAUGCCUAAAUUCGAAUAACUUCA
rnacentral:lncRNA from 12 species